rnacentral:rRNA from 1 species
CCUACGGGUGGCAGCAGUGGGGGAUCUUGCACAAUGGGGGGAACCCUGAUGCAGCGACGCCGCGUGGGCGAUGGAGUGCUUCGGCAUGUAAAGCCCUAUCAGCAGGGAAGUAAAUGACGGUAACUGACUAAGAAGCACCGACUAAAUACGUGCCAGCAGCCGCGGUAAUACGUAUGGGGCAAGCGUUAUCCGGAUUGACGGGGUGUAAAGGGAGCGUAGGCGGCCAGGGAAGCCGUAUUUGAAAUACGGGGGCCCACCCCCGGGGCUGCAUUGGGAACUGCCAGGCUGGAGUGCCGGAGAGGCAGCCGGAAUUCCUAGUGUAGCGGUGAAAUGCGUAGAUAUUAGUAGGAACACCAGUGGCGAAGGCGGCCUGCUGGACGGGGACUGACGCUGAGGCUCGAAAGCGUGGGGAGCAAACAGGAUUAGAUACCCUAGUAGUC